AGGCACGUAGCUCAGUUGGUUAGAGCGCCACCUUGACAUGGUGGGGGUCGUUGGUUCGAGUCCAAUCGCGCCUACCA
rnacentral:tRNA from 1 species